UACGGGGGGUGCGAGCGUUAAUCGGAAUUACUGGGCGUAAAGCGUGCGCAGGCGGUUUCGCAAGUCAGAUGUGAAAGCCCCGGGCUCAACCUGGGAAUUGCAUUUGAAACUACGAGGCUAGAGUGUGUCAGAAGGGGGUAGAAUUCCACGUGUAGCAGUGAAAUGCGUAGAGAUGUGGAGGAAUACCGAUGGCGAAGGCAGCCCCCUGGGAUAACACUGACGCUCAGGCACGAAAGCGUGGGGAGCAAACAGG
rnacentral:rRNA from 1 species